rnacentral:lncRNA from 1 species
GGAGUUCAACAGCCUGGGCUGUAGCAGGACGAGCAGAGGACAAAACCUCACAGACACCGAGGAAGUGAAGGAAGUGGCUUUAAUCAACUGGAAGCAACAGCAGACUAAUGUCUCAAAAUCUGAGCUUCUCGAGUGCACAAUUUCUCUCCCUUUUAAGGGCUCACAAUGCUGAAGAUUUUACAUGAAAGGGCAGUGCUUGAUUGAGCAAUCUAGGGGGUAUGUGACAGGGGCUGCAUGCACUGGUAGUCAGAGUGAAACAGAACAGAACGGGAAGUUUCCCAAUGUCCUUCCAUACAAUGUCUGGAAUCUAUGGAUAACAUCAGUUGCUAGGUCAUGGGUUGAAUUUUAACUACCAGGUUAGGUCUGGCAGGCCCAGGCCUGGUUUUGGGUCUGGUUUUGGGUCUGGUGCCUGGCGCUGGGCUG